CUACGGGUGGCUCCAGGCGCGAAACCUCUACAAUGCACGCAAGUGUGAUAGGGAAACCCCUCGUGCUUAUCGAAAGAUAGGCUUUUGUUAUGUGUAAUGAGCAUAUCGAAUAAGUGAUGGGCAAGACUGGUGCCAGCAGCCGCGGUAAUACCAGCGUCACAAGUGGAGAUCGCUUUUAUUGGGUCUAAAGUGUCCGUAGCUGGUUUGAUCAGUUCUUUGUGAAAUUUCUUUGGCUUAACCAAGAAAUUGCAAGGAAUACUGUCAAACUUGAGACCGGGAGAGGUAAGAAGUAUUGUUUGGGUAGCGGUAAAAUGUUAUAAUCCUUACAAGACUAACUAAUGCGAAGGCAUCUUACUAGAACGGAUCUGACAGUGAGGGACGAAAGCUAGGGUAGCGAACCGGAUUAGAUACCCCCGUAGUC
rnacentral:rRNA from 1 species